rnacentral:rRNA from 2 species
UUGACCUCAAAUCGGGUGAGACUACCCGCUGAACUUAAGCAUAUCAAUAAGCGGGAGGAA